rnacentral:rRNA from 1 species
AGCGCUUCCAGCCAACACGGGAGCGCAGCGCACAGCUCAGUAACACGUGGCUAAUCUGCCCUUGGGACCGGAACACCCCCGGGAAACUGGGGCUAAUUCUCGAUAGGUGAAGAACUCUGGAAUGAGUCUUUGCCAAAAAGACGUUUACGUUAUGCUCGUAGGCGUCGCCCAAGGAUGAGGCCGCGACCGAUCAGGUUGUUGGUGAGGUAAUGGCUCACCAAGCCUUUUACCGGUGCGGGCCGUGAGAGCGGGAGCCCGGAGAUGGGCACUGAGACAAGGGCCCAGGCCCUACGGGGCGCAGCAGUCGCGAAAACUUUGCAAUACACGAAAGUGUGACAGGGCUAUCCCGAGUGCCAUCCGCUGAGGAAGGCUUUUACCCAGUCUAGAACGCUGGGGGAAUAAGGAGAGGGCAAGUCUGGUGUCAGCCGCCGCGGUAAUACCAGCUCUCCGAGUGGUGUGGAUGUUUAUUGGGCCUAAAGCAUCCGUAGCUGGCUGAGUUAGUCCCUUGUUAAAUCCACCGAAUUAAUCGUUGGAUUGCGGGGGGUACUGCUCGGCUAGGGGACGAGAGAGGCAGACGGUAUUUCCGGGGUAGGGGUGAAAUCCUAUAAUCCCGGGAAGACCACCAGUGGCGAAGGCUGUCUGCUAGAACGCGCCCGACGGUGAGGGAUGAAAGCUGGGGGAGCGAACCGGAUUAGAUACCCGGGUAGUCCCAGCUGUAAGCGAUGCAGGCUAGGUGUUUGGACGGCCACGUGCCGUUCUAGUGCCGCAGGGAAGCUGUUAAGCCUGCCGCCUGGGGAGUACGAUCGCAAGAUUGAAACUUAAAGGAAU